rnacentral:lncRNA from 7 species
GCUUUCCUGCAUUUUUUUUUCUGUGUCAUGUGUUGUUGUUGUUGUCUUCUAAAGAUUUUCUUUGUGAGCUUGAAUAAAACCAAGAGAAGUAAAAAUUACUGAUGUUGGUGUUGCACUGAAAGAAACAGGAAAUAAUGGUAUGGAACAAUUCCUCCUUUACUACCACAGAAGCCAGCACUGCGUUUGACAUAUUGUGAUGCUAUUCUUUUCAGUGUUAACUGUGCAUUAUUUGACCCACUUACUGUAAUUUUUUUUCUAUGUUCAGUGUUCUCUGUGCAUUGCUCCCUAGUUUCUCCUCUCUUUUGCUUAAUGAAACUGUACCAGAUUAUGUUGCUGGUUAAACAGUAUCAGAAGCCAGAUAUUGCCUUUAUUUUCUAUUCCUAAGUGUAAUUUUAAUGAUUAACCUUUUUAUGCAAUGAAGAGAAAGUAAUGCAGCAGAAGUGACAUUAAGAUUAAAACUGUGCUGUUAUUAAAAACUGCUAUCAGGAUAAAUUAAUAUUUUCACAGAUAAUUGCUUUCAUCUUUUGAGCCUCCUCAUUCUGGAGAACAAAGUCUCUCUUUUCCAAUAUGCUGGAAAUCUUUUCAUUAACUCUUUUUAGGGGGUUUGGUUAUCAGUAAGAAUGGCAGAGUUUUUAUUUUCUCUGUGCCACGCUGCUAGAGCAUUAUGUACAAAGUACUAGCAUCUUGUCUGAUUGUGUUAAGCUAAAGUCUAUGCCAAUGUGAAAACCACAAAUAGCAGAUCUGCAACAAUCUCGUGUAUAUGUUCAAAACAAACCCAUGGAGUCUUGCUAUGGUGAAGUCAGACUUGGGAUCUGCAGUAAACUUGUAUUUAAAACAUCUUUAGACCUUAGCACUGGAAUGAGUUAUUGAAGCUGCUGCUCAUGGAGAGGAAGCAAAUUACAUGUGGAAAGUAUAACUCUUGUACCAAACCUGUCAAUACUAAGAAGCUCAUAAUCCUGCCUUAGGCUCUUCCUAAACACUCAAGGGCAGUGUUCUUGAAUGCAGAGCCAGGGCAAACAAGCACAGUGUGCAAUGCUUUGCUGCACUGCUGCUGGGAGUGCAAAUGAUGAAUACCACAACAAAGGCUUUUCAGUUUCUGAAGUACUGAUGUACCAGAAGCAGCAGUGUAAUAAAAAAAUGAAGAUACUGGAACUUGUAAACUGCUGACUAAGAUGUGAGGAAGGGAGAAGACGGGACUGUUGUGCCUUGAGGGAACCUCUGGAGGAACUGGGGAGUGUGAGGGUGAGGGCCCAUUUUGGGUCCUAUAGCUCCUGAAUAAAUUGCAGGAGAGAUUUCUGAACAAAAGCAAUGUUAGAGCCUUAGCUGGCUUAACCCACAGAUAAAGGACUCCUUCAGCCUGUCCUGCUCCUGCUUCGGUGCACUGCUGGGAGGAGAAUUACUGGUUAAGACAGUCUCCUGGCUGGCUUGGUUCAGUACUAAGACAUAGAUAUAGCAAUUCUCAACAAUAAAAGCUGAUUGAAGAGAUUGAGAAAAACAACGAGUGGUGUAUGAAACUGUUCUGGGAAUAACUCCUGAAGAUGAGAUUGGAUGGGGACUUGGAAUUAGAAGUAAUCCCAGCUACUCACUAAGCACAGGACCCUAUGCCAUGGUACUGCAAAAUAUCAUCUUGGUACAUAAUCCUUCCAUGGGCAUGAUUGUGCCUGACAUGCCCACUAAAGGGCACUGAGGAAAGCUUUCCAAAUGCAUCUGGGACUGAAGUCUCAAACCUAAUAACAGAAUAUAUGUUACGUGAGUGCACGUUAUGUGAGUUUAGCAAUAUCACUGAAUUUAAGGCCAGGAGGGACUAUUAAUAUCAGCUACUCUAGAUUUUCUGCUUUAUAUAUGUCAUAGAAAUUUCAAUUCCUAUGUGAUGCUCAUCACUUCUAAUAAAGCUAGAAUACAAUCUUCAUCACAUUAAAUAUUUCUAUCAGUUUAAACUUCUGAAGAAUCCAGGUCCACCACUUGUUAAAUUCAAUAGAGAAGAUAAUUUACCCAUAUAUCUAUAUAUAUACACAUUUGUUUGGAUUUGAUGCAUCUGUAGCCAGUGACAGAGCUGCUCAGCCUCAAAAGACCCUCUACAGAUGUGUUUGAAUGUCUUUUUGCUAACAACCGGAAUGCUUUCCACGGAGCCUCUUGUAUUCCCAGCCUGCAAAUCUGCUCUACAGAUGCUUGCAGGAUCAGACAGUGUGCUGAUUUUUUUCUCCUCCUAUGUGGACUGUCUUUCUGUACAGCAAUGCUUGUCUCUAAUGAUGCUUGUGGAAAUUGU